rnacentral:hammerhead_ribozyme from 1 species
AUCCAGCUGACAAGUCCCAAAUAGGACGAGACGCACGAUCUGGAU